GUGCGUGUGGCGUAAUUGGCAGACGCAAUAGAUUUAAGCUCUAUUAUCUUAAUGAUGUGAGGGUUCAAGUCCCUCCACGCAUA
rnacentral:tRNA from 1 species